UACGUAGGGCGCAAGCGUUGUCCGGAAUUAUUGGGCGUAAAGAGCGUGUAGGCGGCUUUACAGGUCCGUUGUGAAAACUCGAGGCUCAACCUCGAGACGCCGGUGGAAACCGUAAAGCUAGAGUCCGGAAGAGGAGAGUGGAAUUCCUGGUGUAGCGGUGAAAUGCGCAGAUAUCAGGAGGAACACCCGUGGCGAAAGCGGCUCUCUGGGACGGUACUGACGCUGAGACGCGAAAGCGUGGGGAGCAAACAGG
rnacentral:rRNA from 1 species